rnacentral:miRNA from 1 species
CCUGCCCUUGGUGAGGACUCGGGAGGUGGAGGGUGGCGCUGCCAGGGCCAGGGCACCGCCUCAGCUCGCUUCUCCCCCCACCUCCUCUCUCCUCAGGUGCGCUUGCAG